CUCUCUCUAAGACGCAUGUCUGUCUAUGUGCUGUGUUGUUGUUUUGUUUCAGUCCUGUUUCUGUUUCUCUUCGCUGUUUGCAGCAAAAUGCAAUAUCUUGAUCGAAUGUUGAGUGAUAGUGAUUAGAUCAUCCCUUUAAAUGCUGAUAUCGUCAUCUGCUCUUUUCUGCUGGGUCCCAAACUUCUUUUAAUUGGAUAUAUCUGUGGGUAUCUUAUGUACAUGAAGAAGGAGACAAGAAGUCUUUCGAGAGAUUUUAUAUUUUAAAAUUUAAUAGGCUGAGGUUUUUGAAAGCAAAAUUUUGCCAACGAACUUAGACCUACAAACAGAACCCAUUUGAUCUGAAGUCAUUAAAUCAUCUAUGAUUA